UACGUAGGGUGCAAGCGUUGUCCGGAAUUAUUGGGCGUAAAGAGCGUGUAGGCGGUUAUACAGGUCCGCUGUGAAAACUGGAGGCUUAACCUCCAGACGUCGGUGGAAACCGUAUAACUAGAGUCCGGAAGAGGAGAGUGGAAUUCCUGGUGUAGCGGUGAAAUGCGCAGAUAUCAGGAAGAACACCCGUGGCGAAGGCGGCUCUCUGGGACGGUACUGACGCUGAGACGCGAAAGCGUGGGGAGCGAACAGG
rnacentral:rRNA from 1 species